GAUGAACGCUGGCGGCGUGCCUAAUACAUGCAAGUCGAGCGAACAGAUGAGGAGCUUGCUCCUCUGACGUUAGCGGCGGACGGGUGAGUAACACGUGGAUAACCUACCUAUAAGACUGGGAUAACUUCGGGAAACCGGAGCUAAUACCGGAUAAUAUAUUGAACCGCAUGGUUCAAUAGUGAAAGACGGUUUUGCUGUCACUUAUAGAUGGAUCCGCGCCGCAUUAGCUAGUUGGUAAGGUAACGGCUUACCAAGGCAACGAUGCGUAGCCGACCUGAGAGGGGAGACGGCCAACCGGGAACGGAGCACGGGGCCAGCCCCCACGGGGGGGCCGAGGGAGGGAAUUUUCCGCAAUGGGCGAAAGCCUGACGGAGCAACCCCGGGGGGGUGAGGAAGGGCUUCGGAUCGUAAAACUCUUUUUUUGGGGAAAAAAAAAGGUGUAAGUAACUAUGCACGUCUUGCGGGUACCUAAGCAAAAAGCCCGGGCUAACUACUU
rnacentral:rRNA from 1 species